rnacentral:rRNA from 1 species
AGCGAACGCUGGCGGCAGGCUUAACACAUGCAAGUCGAGCGGGCCCUUCGGGGUCAGCGGCAGACGGGUGAGUAACACGUGGGAACGUACCCUUUGGUUCGGAAUAACGCUGGGAAACUAGCGCUAAUACCGGAUACGCCCUUUUGGGGAAAGGCUUGCUGCCGAAGGAUCGGCCCGCGUCUGAUUAGCUAGUUGGUGGGGUAAUGGCCUACCAAGGCGACGAUCAGUAGCUGGUCUGAGAGGAUGAUCAGCCACACUGGGACUGAGACACGGCCCAGACUCCUACGGGAGGCAGCAGCGGGGAAUAUUGGACAAUGGGCGCAAGCCUGAUCCAGCCAUGCCGCGUGAGUGAUGAAGGCCUUAGGGUUGUAAAGCUCUUUUGUCCGGGACGAUAAUGACGGUACCGGAAGAAUAAGCCCCGGCUAACUUCGUG